AUGAAUUUGGACCCUGGCUGCCCUUUGCACAGGCCACCACUCAGGGUUGCAUCUGCAGUAAGAAACGUGGAGAAAGAGUGGUGGAUCACGCAUGCUCAGACGUCCUCUCCUGCCAUACAGUCCUCUGCACGUGCAGAGGGAAGCCCCUGCAAAUCAAUCAUGUCAGAUUUGGAGGAAAAGGAAUCUUUUAGUUUUGCAGAAGCUCCUUCCCCAAGGGGAAAGAGGACCAGACCGUUUUCAUUUCAGAUGCUGUAAUGGACUGAGUGCUUUGUUCCCCUUCAAUCAUAUGUUGAAGCCCUGACCCAACCCCCCAAUGCAAUGGUAUUUGAAGGAACUGCCAUCUCAUUCCUGUCCCUGGUUAGACAGAACUCAAGAGCCUUGGCAUUUGCUGCUGCUGUCCAAGCAACCUCCAGUCUUCAUGCAGAACAGAAGGCAAGACGUGCCAGCACUGGAAUUUCCAGCUGUGAGUGCACCCACCAUUGGUCCCUGUAAAGCACUGAUACUGACGCCAAGACUGAGAUGGACAUGUGUGAGUGUGGAUAGUAAAGUGAAUACCGAUAUGGACACUGAUUCCAGUGAGGCUCCCUGCUCCCGCUGGAUACUGCUAAAGCCGAGAGGCCUCAAGUAUCAACAGCUCCCAAGCUGUGGGUUCUGCUGCAGCCACUCACUCAGCCUCUGCCAGCUUUCCAUUCCUUGUCUUGGCAAGUGGAGCCAGUGCACCUGCUUGUCUUUCUCACCCAGCGAUGUUGAGGAAUCGAGGAGAUGCUGGAUAUGGACAAACUGGAAAGUGUCUCAGAAAAUGGUAGCUCUUACUCUUAUGGUUAUUGUUGUCCAUCAAGCAAGGGCUUCUAUUCAGGGGGCCUCUCCUUUGGGCUUGCACUGACCCUCCCGACUUCUCUUGGGUGGCAGUGCGGGCAAACUUCCACAUGUGUCCCACGGGGACGAGGGCUCACAAAACAGGAACUGAGCUAUAACUAGGGUACCCCAGGAAUUUCCCGAAUCUCUGUCAAGCACUGGCAGGUGUGGGCAUCUCAGAGCAGAGGGUGGAAAGGGUCCUUAGGGAACAGUGAUGGAAUGGAAGCCUGAAGGGAGAGCAGAGCUGGGGGUGACUCUGCGCAGCGGCUGGUGGCAGUCAGCGGGGCCAUCAGGCGUGAGGAGCUGGGCUUUGCUCCUGAGGAGGCAGUGCCUUGAGGUAUCGCUGGGGGCAGUGGAGGACCCUUGCACGUGGGCAGGGGAAGCCAGUGAAUGGACCGCAGAAGUAGCCACUCCUGUGUGGCACCUUGUCAGCCUGGCGCAGGGAUUGUUUGCCCAUGUGGGGGUGCCAGUGAGGAUGGAAAUUUGGGGAUGAGAGGUUCAAGGUGCCUUGUCUUGUUCCUCAGGGCUGUUACCUGACUGGCUGGCAAGGGUGAGGGGAAAUAGGUGGCGAGCAUCUCUUCCCUGAGCAUCUCUGAAUGAAGGGGUAGCCCCUUUGGGUUGGCCUCCAGGUGUGCCUAACUCAACGCCCAGGGUAAGCUUCCCUUACUUUGCAGGUAGGCUCUUAAAGGAGUAGUAUAUUUUCUCCUUUCAGCUGAAGUUGGAUAAAAAGCAAUUCUUCAGGUUUUUUUUUUUAAAUAGGCUUAUAAAAAAGAACUGCUUCUCUGCAAAUCUCUGUUAGAAAAAUCUUUUGAGCUUUAUUUGUCCAGGAGCCUGGUUGA